rnacentral:rRNA from 1 species
UGGGGAAUAUUGCACAAUGGGCGCAAGCCUGAUGCAGCCAUGCCGCGUGUGUGAAGAAGGCCUUCGGGUUGUAAAGCACUUUCAGCGAGGAGGAAGGUGGUGAACUUAAUACGUUCAUCAAUUGACGUUACUCGCAGAAGAAGCACCGGCUAACUCCGUGCCAGCAGCCGCGGUAAUACGGAGGGUGCAAGCGCUAAUCGGAAUUACUGGGCGUAAAGCGCACGCAGGCGGUUUGUUAAGUCAGAUGUGAAAUCCCCGGGCUCAACCUGGGAACUGCAUUUGAAACUGGCAAGCUAGAGUCUCGUAGAGGGGGGUAGAAUUCCAGGUGUAGCGGUGAAAUGCGUAGAGAUCUGGAGGAAUACCGGUGGCGAAGGCGGCCCCCCUGGACGAAGACUGACGCUCAGGUGCGAAAGCGUGGGGCAGCAAACAGGAUUAGAUACCCUGGUAGUCCACGCUGUAAACGAUGUCGAUUUGGAGGUUGUGCCCUUGAGGCGUGGCUUCCGGAGCUAACGCGUUAAAUCGACCGCCUGGGGAGUACGGCCGCAAGGUUAAAACUUAAAGGAAUUGACGGGGUCUAGCUG